UUUGAUUCUGGCUCAGGACGAACGCUGGCGGCGUGCUUAACACAUGCAAGUCGAGCGAUGAAGCACCUUCGGGUGUGAAUUAGCGGCGAACGGGUGAGGAACACGUGAAGAAUCUGCCUUCAACUCUGGGAUAACUCCGGGAAACCGGGGCUAAUACCGGAUAUGAGCCUUGAUCGCAUGAUCGGGGCUGGAAAGUUUUUCGGUUGAAGAUGACUUCGCGGCCUAUCAGCUUGUUGGUGAGGUAAUGGCUCACCAAGGCGACGACGGGUAGCCGGCCUGAGAGGGCGACUCGGCCACACUGGGACUGAGACACGGCCCAGACUCCUACGGGAGGCAGCAGUGGGGAAUAUUGGGCAAUGGAGGAAACUCUGACCCAGCGACGCCGCGUGAGGGAUGAAGGCCUUCGGGUUGUAAACCUCUUUCAGUAGGGAAGAAGCGAAAGUGACGGUACCUACAGAAGAAGCACCGGCUAACUAUGUGCCAGCAGCCGCGGUAAUACAUAGGGUGCAAGCGUUGUCCGGAAUUAUUGGGCGUAAAGAGCUCGUAGGUGGUUCGAUACGAUCGGAUGUGAAAAUCAGGGGCUCAACCCCUGACCUGCAUCCGAUACGGUCGAGCUAGAGUUUGGUAGGGGAGACUGGAAUUCCCGCUGUAGCGGUGGAAUGCGCAGAUAUCAGGAGGAACACCGAUGGCGAAGGCAGGUCUUUGGGCCAAUACUGACACUGAGGAGCGAAAGCGUGGGGAGCGAACAGGAUUAGAUACCCUGGUAGUCCACGCCGUAAACGGUGGGCGCUAGUUGUGCGAACCUUCCACGGUUUGUGCGACGCAGCUCACCCAUUAAGCGCCC
rnacentral:rRNA from 1 species